rnacentral:rRNA from 1 species
UGAGGAAUAUUGGACAAUGGGUGAAAACCUGAUCCAGCCAUGCCGCGUGCAGGAAGACGGCCCUAUGGGUUGUAAACUGCUUUUGUAUGGGAGCAAUAAGCUCUACGCGUAGAGUGAUGAGAGUACCAUACGAAUAAGCAUCGGCUAACUCCGUGCCAGCAGCCGCGGUAAUACGGAGGAUGCAAGCGUUGUCCGGAUUUACUGGGUGUAAAGGGAGCGUAGGCGGGAUUGUAAGUUGGAUGUGAAAUGUACCGGCUCAGCUGGUAAACUGCAUUCAAAACUGCGAUUCUUGAGUGAAGUAGAGGCAGGCGGAAUUCCUAGUGUAGCGGUGAAAUGCUUAGAUAUCACGAAGAACUCCAAUUGCGAAGGCAGCUUGCUGGACUGUAACUGACGCUGAUGCUCGAAAGUGUGGGUAUCAAACA